rnacentral:rRNA from 1 species
AUUGAACGCUGGCGGCAUGCCUUACACAUGCAAGUCGAACGGCAGCACGGGAGCAAUCCUGGUGGCGAGUGGCGAACGGGUGAGUAAUACAUCGGAACGUGCCCAAUCGUGGGGGAUAACGCAGCGAAAGCUGUGCUAAUACCGCAUACGAUCUACGGAUGAAAGCAGGGGAUCGCAAGGCCUUGCGCGAUUGGAGCGGCCGAUGGCAGAUUAGUUAGUUGGUGGGGUAAAGGCUCACCAAGCCAACGAUCUGUAGCUGGUCUGAGAGGACGACCAGCCACACUGGAACUGAGACACGGCCCAGACUCCUACGGGAGGCAGCAGUGGGGAAUUUUGGGCAAUGGGCGCAAGCCUGAUCCAGCCAUGCCGCGUGCAGGAUGAAGGCCUUCGGGUUGUAAACUGCUUUUGUACGGAACGAAACGGCCUUUUCUAAUAAAGAGGGCUAAUGACGGUACCGUAAGAAUAAGCACCGGCUAACUACGUG